rnacentral:rRNA from 1 species
GGAAUAUUGCGCAAUGGGCGAAAGCCUGACGCAGCGACGCCGCGUGAGGGAUGACGGCCUAUGGGUUGUAAACCUCUUUUUUCAGGGAGGAAUAAAAUGACGUGUACCUGAAGAAUAAGCAUCGGCUAACUCCGUGCCAGCAGCCGCGGUAAGACGGAGGAUGCAAGUGUUAUCCGGAAUCACUGGGCGUAAAGCGUCUGUAGGUGGUCCAGUAAGUCAACUGUUAAAUCUUGAGGCUCAACCUCAAAACCGCAGUCGAAACUAUUGGACUAGAGUAUAGUAGGGGUAAAGGGAAUUUCCAGUGGAGCGGUGAAAUGCGUAGAUAUUGGAAAGAACACCGAUGGCGAAGGCACUUUACUGGGCUAUUACUGACACUCAGAGACGAAAGCUAGGGUAGCA